GCGGGGCCCUCUCUGCGCACGCGCAUUGCGCAGUUGGAAACCAUGUUUCGUUCCUGCUUCUAGCAGUCACUGGAUUAGAUACCCGCUCGCUGCACCUCGCAAAAUUGCUGCAGUAUGACCCUAUCUUCAAAGAAAUAAAGGAGAAAAAUACAUUGUGUUACAAGAUGAAGAAACCAAACUCGUCAUGAAGUUGGUAGAAGAUACAAAUAUAGAUCAUUGUUAAGAUGAGAUCAUUAUGGAGUAGGACAGGGCUUUAAUCCAAUAUCACUGAUGUCCUUGUAAGAAGAGAGGAAACGACACAGACACAGAGAUGCGGGAGAAACAGCCUUGGAAUAUGAAGGCAGAGAGAUACACCUAUAAGCCAAGGGAAACCAAAGAUUUCCAGCCAUCCACCAGCAGAUAGGAGAGAGGCAUGGAACAGAUUCUCUCUCCGAACGCCCAGAAGGAACCCACCCUGCCGACACCUGAUCUCACAUUUCUAGCCUCCUCCAGAACUGUGAGAGAAUAAAUUUCUGUAGGUUAGGUCA